GGGGUGUCUCUGUCACAGAUGUUGCCAAGACAACUGGAUAUACACAUGCAAAAGUAUGAAGUUGAACCCCUACCUCAGAUCAUAUAUAAAAAUUAACUCAAAAUAGACCAAAGACCUAAAUGUAAGAACUAAAAC